GAUGAACGCUGGCGGCGUGCCUAAUACAUGCAAGUCGAGCGAACGGACGAGAAGCUUGCUCCCCUGAUGUUAGCGGCGGACGGGUGAGUAACACGUGGAUAACCUACCUAUAAGACUGGGAUAAUUUCGGGAAACCGUAGCUAAUACCGGAUAAUAUUUUGAACCGCAUGGUUCAAAAGUGAAAGACGGUUUUGCUGUCACUUAUAGAUGGAUCCGCGCUGCAUUAGCUAGUUGGUAAGGUAACGGCUUACCAAGGCAACGAUGCAUAGCCGACCUGAGAGGGUGAUCGGCCACACUGGAACUGAGACACGGUCUAGACUCCUACGGGAGGCAGCAGUGGGGAAUCUUCCGCAAUGGGCGAAAGCCUGACGGAGCAACGCCGCGUGAGUGAUGAAGGUCUUCGGGUCGUAAAGCUCUGUUGUUGGGGAAGAACAUAUGUAUAAGUAACUGUGCACAUCUUGACGGUACCUAAUCAAAAAGCCACGGCUAACUACGUG
rnacentral:rRNA from 1 species